UACGGGGGGGGCAAGCGUUGUUCGGAAUUACUGGGCGUAAAGGGCUCGUAGGCGGCCAACUAAGUCGGAUGUGAAAUCCCCAGGCUUAACCUGGGAACUGCAUCCGAUACUGGAUGGCUUGAAUCCGGGAGAGGGAUGCAGAAUUCCAGGUGUAGCGGUGAAAUGCGUAGAUAUCAGGAGGAACACCGGUGGCGAAGGCGGGUCUCUGGGCCGAAACUGACGCUGAGGAGCGAAAGCGUGGGGAGCAAACAGG
rnacentral:rRNA from 1 species